rnacentral:rRNA from 2 species
UCGGAUCAGGCGGGGAUACCCGCUGAACUUAAGCAUAUCAAUAAGCGGAGGAAAAGAAACCAACAGGGAUUGCCCCAGUAACGGCGAGUGAAGCGGCAACAGCUCAAAUUUGAAAUCUGGAGCCUUUGUGGCUUCCGAGUUGUAAUUUGCAGAGGGAGUCUCGGAGGGCGAGUCGGUCCAAGUGCCUUGGAACAGGAUACCGCAGAGGGUGAGAGUCCCGUAUCUGGCCGAUUUCGCGCUCCGUGUGAGGCCCCUUCGACGAGUCGAGUUGUUUGGGAAUGCAGCUCCAAGCGGGUGGUAAAUUCCAUCUAAAGCUAAAUACCGGCCAGAGACCGAUAGCGAACAAGUAGAGUGAUCGAAAGAUGAAAAGCACUUUGAAAAGAGAGUCAAACAGUACGUGAAAUUGUUGAAAGGGAAGCGCAUGGGGGCAGACUUGGACGCGGGGUUCAGGACGUCCUGUGACGUCUGUACUUCCCCGCGGACAGGCCAGCAUCGGUUUCGGGGGCCGGACAAAGGCGCUGGGAACGUGGCUCUCUUCGGAGAGUGUUAUAGCCCGGCGCGCAAUGCGGCCACCUGGGACCGAGGACCGCGCUUCGGCAAGGAUGCUGGCGUAAUGGCCUCAUGCGGCCCGUCUUGAAACACGGACCAAGGAGUCUAACAUCUAUGCGAGUGUUUGGGUUUGAAGCCCGGGCGCGCAAUGAAAGUGAACGGAGGUGGGAGUCCGCAAGGACGCACCAUCGACCGAUCCGGACGUUUUCUGAAGGAUUUGAGUAAGAGCAUAGCUGUUGGGACCCGAAAGAUGGUGAACUAUGCGUGAAUAGGGUGAAGCCAGAGGAAACUCUGGUGGAGGCUCGCAGCGGUUCUGACGUGCAAAUCGAUCGUCAAAUUUGCGUAUAGGGGCGAAAGACUAAUCGAACCAUCUAGUAGCUGGUUCCUGCCGAAGUUUCCCUCAGGAUAGCAGUAACGUAUUCAGUUUUAUGAGGUAAAGCGAACGAUUAGGGAGCUAGGGGUUGAAACAACCUCUAUCCAUUCUCGAACUUUAAAUAUGUAAGAAGUCCUUGUUGCUUUGUUGAACGUGGACAGUCGAAUGCAGCGUUACUAGUGGGCCAUUUUUGGUAAGCAGAACUGGCGAUGCGGGAUGAACCGAACGUGGGGUUAAGGUGCCGGAAUGCACGCUCAUCAGACACCACAAAAGGUGUUGGUUCAUCCAGACAGCAGGACGGUGGCCAUGGAAGUCGGAAUCCGCUAAGGAGUGUGUAACAACUCACCUGCCGAAUGAACCAGCCCUGAAAAUGGAUGGCGCUCAAGCGUGCUACCCAUACCCCACCGUCUGUGUGUUUUGUUAGACGCAGACGAGUAGGCAGGCGUGGAGGUUUUGUGA